GCGUAUUUCCACGGAACAUUAAAUACUUUUACCGCGGGAGGCUGCAUUAACUGAGAGUAUUCGACACCAACCGAGCCUGGUGCUUACCGUGUAACAGUCGUCGCAAAACCCACCAAUGGCUCAAAUUCGCCAUUUAGUGCCACGGAAACGACAAUACACAGCAAGUGAGUUCUAAAAGAAAGGCAAUGAUAAUUCGCGAUAAGAGGUCUUCAGGUCUUCAGGACUGUACCCCAGAACUGUUCUUUUAAACGAACAACAAAGUGGUCUGGCAAAGUUGCCACUUUACGGGGAAGCCUUUUUAACCAUAAGUGAGGCAGGGGAGCAGUGCGAGGUAAGAUAAAAAUCUAGGUGAGACUCUCCCGCUACCGUUUGAUUAUCGAGUGAUCUUGUGAGCAUAAGACGUUAUAUUUCUUUUCGCCUUCCUUUAUUUUAAUUUUCCGAAAAGUUUCAUCUUAGCCAGGAAAUGUUAUAAGAGUAGUUAAAUGAACUUAAUAUGAACAUUUACUUCAUUUUUAUGUUAAAAAAUCAAGUUACGUUCCAGUUAGGCUGAAAACGGCACGGAAAAAUCGCCUUAAACGAAUACAAGCAGGAUUUUACUACAAUCCUAAUCAAAUCCUGUUAUUUGUGGAUAACUUUUGAGUUGUUUGUAUUUACUUAUUACGACUCGAAUUUUUCUCUUCACAGAAUGCUGAUGAUGUCAUUAGUACCGACUGUUUCCCGCAUUAAUUUCUGUAAGCUCACAUCAUUCAGCGUUGUCUUAUUUACAAUGGUCGAGGGUGUGAAAAAUUUCAAAAGAAAAAAUGUUAAAAGAGGGCGCUACACUGGCACAACAUAGCUACUUUUACUUCCCAAAUAACCUCAAACUGCAGUGCAAGGUCGUUAUUUACAACAAGCCUUGGAAACCUUUGUUGUUGGACACUGGUCUGUCUCAAGGCAAAUGCCGCGGACUUCGAGACAGUCGUCCGCCGGUGGAGAAAAUUUGAUUUUCUUGAAUAAAGAAAGUUCAUUCUCAGCACAAGGCUACACAUGGCUUGUGGAAAACCUCUCCAGUGAGGGGGACGUGGUUAUUGACGCAGGAACCCCCAAUGACUAAGCAAUGGUGGCUGCGUUGAGGAAAGGGCGAAGCGCGGUUAGGAUAGACAGUACCGCUUUGCCGUCCAAACAGACAGCAAUAGAGACUAAAAUUUGUAGUCUUGUAUCUUCAUAGUUUAUAUCUCAAUGACAAUAAACUAGUUAAAGUAAAAAAUUCAAUUGACAAAGUUUAUGUUAGAUACAAUGGAUAUAUGAAGUUCAU
rnacentral:lncRNA from 1 species